rnacentral:rRNA from 1 species
UGCAGUCGAACGGCAGCGGACCUUCGGGUGCCGGCGAGUGGCGAACGGGUGAGUAAAGUAUCGGAACGUACCCUAGAGUGGGGGAUAACUCUCCGAAAGGAGGGCUAAUACCGCAUAUUCUAUGCGUAGGAAAGCAGGGGACCUUCGGGUCUUGUGCUCUAGGAGCGGCCGAUAUCAGAUUAGGUAGUUGGUGGGGUAAAGGCCUACCAAGCCGACGAUCUGUAGCGGGUCUGAGAGGAUGAUCCGCCACACUGGAACUGAGACACGGUCCAGACUCCUACGGGAGGCAGCAGUGGGGAAUUUUGGACAAUGGGCGCAAGCCUGAUCCAGCCAUGCCGCGUGAGUGAAGAAGGCCUUCGGGUUGUAAAGCUCUUUCGGCCGGGAAGAAAUCGCGUGGGCUAAUAUCCUGCGUGGAUGACGGUACCAGAAUAAGAAGCACCGGCUAACUACGUGCCAGCAGCCGCGGUAAUACGUAGGGUGCGAGCGUUAACCGGAAUUACUGGGCGUAAAGCGUGCGCAGGCGGUUUUUUAAGAUAGGCGUGAAAUCCCCGGGCUCAACCUGGGAACUGCGCUUAUGACUGGAAGACUCGAGUAUGGCAGAGGGGGGUGGAAUUCCACGUGUAGCAGUGAAAUGCGUAGAGAUGUGGAGGAACACCGAUGGCGAAGGCAGCCCCCUGGGCCAAUACUGACGCUCAUGCACGAAAGCGUGGGGAGCAAACAGGAUUAGAUACCCUGGUAGUCCACGCCCUANACGAUGUCAACUAGUUGUUGGGAGGGCAAAACCUUUUAGUAACGUAGCUAACGCGUGAAGUUGACCGCCUGGGGAGUACGGCCGCAAGGUUAAAACUCAAAGGAAUUGACGGGGACCCGCACAAGCGGUGGAUGAUGUGGAUUAAUUCGAUGCAACGCGAAAAACCUUACCUACCC